AGCGAACGCUGGCGGCGUGCCUAAUACAUGCAAGUCGAACGGCCGCACAGUAAGAUCUCUCCUCUACGGUUGGCGAGUGGCGGACGGGUGACGAAUACAUCGCAAUCUUCUUUUUCUUGGGUGAUUACGUAGGACAACUUAUGCUAAUACAUCAUACGACAUACGGGUUGAUUCAGUGGUUCUUCGCACUUUUCGCGAUUCUUUUAGCCGAUGUCGGAUUAGCUAGUUGGCUGGGUAAAGUCUCACCAAGGCGACGAUCCGUAGCUGGUCUGAGAGGAUGGUCAGCCACACUGGAACUGAGACACGGUCCAGACUCCUACGGGAGGCAGCAGUGGGGAAUAUUGGACAAUGGGCGAAAGCCUGAUCCAGCAAUACCGCGUGGGUGAAGAAGGCCUUCGGGUUGUAAAGCCCUGUUAUUAGGAAAGAAAAGAAGUAGGUGAAUCCCCCGAUGUUCUGACGGUACCUAAAGAAUAAGCACCGGCUAACUUCGUG
rnacentral:rRNA from 1 species